AGGAACAGCUCUGUCCACUUCUCCUUCAGCUCUUUGGAAAAUCAUGCACACUCUCCCAUCGAGGUGCAUGACGGUCCUCUUAAGAAGAUUUUGUUAUGGAAUGAUCUCUACGGGAAAUUAGACUACGGUUUCGGAACAGGACAGGAACCUUUCCAAGCAGCGGGGUGUCGAGUGGAUGCUUGCAUGAUUACGAUCGACCGGAAUUUGUUUCCUCUGGAGGAGCUCGACGCCCUUGUGUGGCAUACGAGGUCACGGGAUGUCUCUUUGCCUGAGAAGAGGAGUCCACACACUCGGUACGUGCUGGUAGCGAGGGAAUCUCCAGGCCACAACUACUCCAGGUUUUUGGAAUUUGUUCGUGAAUCUCGCCUU
rnacentral:lncRNA from 1 species